rnacentral:rRNA from 1 species
CACGCCGUAAACGAUGAUCACUCGAUGUUGGCGAUACACAGUCAGCGUCUUAGGGAAACUAUUAAGUGAUCCACCUGGGGAGUACGGUCGCAAGAUUGAAACUCAAAGGAAUUGACGGGGGCCCGCACAAGCGGAGGAGCAUGUGGUUUAAUUCGAUGAUACGCGAGGAACCUUACCUGGGCUCGAACGUAGGAUGACAGUUGCGGAAACGUGACGUUCUUCGGACAUUCUACGAGGUGC